AGUGAACGCUGGCGGUAGGCCUAACACAUGCAAGUCGAACGGCAGCACAGUAAGAGCUUGCUCUUACGGGUGGCGAGUGGCGGACGGGUGAGGAAUACAUCGGAAUCUACUUUUUCGUGGGGGAUAACGUAGGGAAACUUACGCUAAUACCGCAUACGACCUACGGGUGAAAGCAGGGGAUCUUCGGACCUUGCGCGAUUGAAUGAGCCGAUGUCGGAUUAGCUAGUUGGCGGGGUAAAGGCCCACCAAGGCGACGAUCCGUAGCUGGUCUGAGAGGAUGAUCCGCCACACUGGAACUGAGACACGGUCCAGACUCCUACGGGAGGCAGCGGUGGGAAAUAUUGGACACUGGGCGAAAGCCUGAUCCAGCCAUACCGCGUGGGUGAAGAAGGCCUUCGGGUUGUAAAGCCCUUUUGUUGGGAAAGAAAAGCAGCAGGUUAAUACCCCGCUGUUCUGACGGUACCCAAAGAAUAGGCACCGGCUAACUUCGU
rnacentral:rRNA from 1 species